GGGUAGUACAGAGAGCGGCAAACCCGCGAGGGGGAGCAAAUCUCAAAAAACUAUUCUUAGUUCGGAUUGUACUCUGCAACUCGAGUACAUGAAGUUGGAAUCGCUAGUAAUCGCAAAUCAGCAAUGUUGCGGUGAAUACGUUCUCGGGUCUUGUACACACCGCCCGUCACACCACGAGAGUUGGUUGCACCUGAAGUAGCAGGCCUAACCUUAGGGAAGGAUGCUCCGAGGGUGUGGUUAGCGAUUGGGGUGAAGUCGUAACAAGGUAUCCGUACGGGAACGUGCGGUUGGAUCACCUCCU
rnacentral:rRNA from 1 species